rnacentral:rRNA from 1 species
AUGGUUAUAAUAGGAGGAGAUGCGGGUGGCAAUGAAGGAGAUCGUUCUGGAAGUCAACCUCUUCACCGGAACUCGAAGCGUCCUGCUAAUCGCCAGCCACGACCUGCGCAGAGUGUUGAGCAGGGAGAGGAUGUUGAGGAUGCUGAUCAGUUCCGUGUUGUAAAGCGGACUAGACGUGCAGCACUUGGCAAGGGAGCUGAGUCAUCUUCUAGGGCCGCAGUUGCUGGAGAAGCUGUCGCAUCUUCCACAGCAGAUGCUGAGGGCAGCGGUGAAGGAGUUGAGGUGUCUCCAGGGGAAGAUGUGGAGCGACCAUCACAAGCAGGCAGGAUAAGGGCAUCACCAGCGCGCUUUGCAAAUUUCAACGCCUCUCUAACUCCACUACAGAAAUCAGAGCUAGUUUCGAGGUCGGUCGGGGGGCUAUUGAACUUAUCAGACACACUUCCAGCGGACCUCACUAAGUUCCUGGUGCAGUCCUACCAGCCACAGACCUCUGAAAUGGUUUUCCCAGGAAGGGGAAGGAUCCGUGUCGAUGCUGACAGUGUUCAGAGGGUAUUUGAUCUCCCAAACAAGGGUCCAAAAGUCAGAUAUUUAGUUGACAAGGAUGCCACUAGGAGAUUCAGACAGGCUUUCAAUAUAACUGGAAAUUCUCAUCCCUAG